UGUCUUGUAAUUGGAAUGAUGGUGACCUAAACCCUCACCAGAGUAACAAUUGGAGGGCAAGUCUGGUGCCAGCAGCCGCGGUAAUUCCAGCUCCAAUAGCGUAUAUUAAACUUGUUGCAGUUAAAAAGCUCGUAGUUGAAUUUCUGCGUUAUCGAGUUAUUGACUCUUGUCUUUAAUCGAUUUCGCUUUUGGGAUUUAUCCCUUUUUACUUUGAGAAAAUUAGAGUGUUUCAAGCAGACUUUUGUCUUGAAUACUUCAGCAUGGAAUAAUAGAGUAGGACUUUGGUUCUAUUUUGUUGGUUUUUGAACCUUAGUAAUGGUUAAUAGGAACGGUUGGGGGCAUUCGUAUUUAACUGUCAGAGGUGAAAUUCUUAGAUUUGUUAAAGACGAACUACUGCGAAAGCAUUUGCCAAGGACGUUUCCAUUAAUCAAGAACGAAAGUUAGGGGAUCGAAGACGAUCAGAUACCGUCGUAGUCUUAACCAUAAACU
rnacentral:rRNA from 1 species